GGGAUGUUAGCUCAGUUGGUAGAGCAGCGGACUUUUAAUCCGUUGGUCGCGAGUUCGAAUCUCGCACAUCCUACCA
rnacentral:tRNA from 1 species